rnacentral:rRNA from 1 species
GAUGAACGCUGGCGGCGUGCCUAAUACAUGCAAGUUGAGCGAAGAAGAUAGGUGCUUGCUCCUAUUUGAAGAGCAGCGAACGGGUGAGUAACGCGUGGGUAAUCUGCCUUUGAGAGGGGGAUAACAUCUGGAAACGAAUGCUAAUACCGCAUAACAACUUUAAACACAAGUUUUAAGUUUGAAAGAUGCAUUUGCAUCACUCAAAGAUGAUCCCCCGUUGUAUUAGCUAGAUUGUGAGGUAAAGGCCCAACAAGGCGAAGAUACAUAGCCGGCCUGAGAGGGGGAUCGGGCAAAUUGGGACUGGGGCACGGCCCAAACGCCUAACGGGAGCAAGCGGAGGGAAUCUUCGGCAAUGGACGAAAGUCUGAACGGGCAACGCCGCGGGAGGGAAUAAGGUUCUUGGAACGGAAAACCCCGUUUAUAGGGAAGAACGGAGUUGGUAGUUGAAAACGCAUCAAUUGACGGUACCUACCCAGAAAGGGACGGCUAACUACGUG